rnacentral:rRNA from 1 species
UACGUAGGUGGCGAGCGUUGUCCGGAUUUACUGGGCGUAAAGGGAGCGUAGGCGGACUUUUAAGUGAGAUGUGAAAUACCCGGGCUCAACUUGGGUGCAGCAUUUCAAACUGGAAGUCUAGAGUGCAGGAGAGGAGAAUGGAAUUCCUAGUGUAGCGGUGAAAUGCGUAGAGAUUAGGAAGAACACCAGUGGCGAAGGCGAUUCUCUGGACUGUAACUGACGCUGAGGCUCGAAAGCGUGGGGAUCAAACAGGAUUAGAUACCCUGGUA